rnacentral:rRNA from 1 species
AGCGGCGGACGGGUGAGUAAUGCUUAGGAAUCUGCCUAUUAGUGGGGGACAACAUUCCGAAAGGAAUGCUAAUACCGCAUACGCCCUACGGGGGAAAGCAGGGGAUCUUCGGACCUUGCGCUAAUAGAUGAGCCUAAGUCAGAUUAGCUAGUUGGUGGGGUAAAGGCCUACCAAGGCGACGAUCUGUAGCGGGUCUGAGAGGAUGAUCCGCCACACUGGGACUGAGACACGGCCCAGACUCCUACGGGAGGCAGCAGUGGGGAAUAUUGGACAAUGGGCGCAAGCCUGAUCCAGCCAUGCCGCGUGUGUGAAGAAGGCCUUUUGGUUGUAAAGCACUUUAAGCGAGGAGGAGGCUACUUAGAUUAAUACUCUAGGAUAGUGGACGUUACUCGCAGAAUAAGCACCGGCUAACUCUGUGCCAGCAGCCGCGGUAAUACAGAGGGUGCGAGCGUUAAUCGGAUUUACUGGGCGUAAAGCGUGCGUAGGCGGCUUUUUAAGUCGGAUGUGAAAUCCCUGAGCUUAACUUAGGAAUUGCAUUCGAUACUGGGAAGCUAGAGUAUGGGAGAGGAAUGGUAGAAUUCCAGGUGUAGCGGUGAAAUGCGUAGAGAUCUGGAGGAAUACCGAUGGCGAAGGCAGCCAUCUGGCCUAAUACUGACGCUGAGGUACGAAAGCAUGGGGAGCAAACAGGAUUAGAUACCCUGGUAGUCCAUGCCGUAAACGAUGUCUACUAGCCGUUGGGGCCUUUGAGGCUUUAGUGGCGCAGCUAACGCGAUAAGUAGACCGCCUGGGGAGUACGGUCGCAAGACUAAAACUCAAAUGAAUUGACGGGGGCCCGCACAAGCGGUGGAGCAUGUGGUUUAAUUCGAUGCAACGCGAAGAACCUUACCUGGUCUUGACAUAGUAAGAACUUUCCAGAGAUGGAUUGGUGCCUUCGGGAACUUACAUACAGGUGCUGCAUGGCUGUCGUCAGCUCGUGUCGUGAGAUGUUGGGUUAAGUCCCGCAACGAGCGCAACCCUUUUCCUUAUUUGCCAGCGGGUUAAGCCGGGAACUUUAAGGAUACUGCCAGUGACAAACUGGAGGAAGGCGGGGACGACGUCAAGUCAUCAUGGCCCUUACGACCAGGGCUACACACGUGCUACAAUGGUCGGUACAAAGGGUUGCUACCUAGCGAUAGGAUGCUAAUCUCAAAAAGCCGAUCGUAGUCCGGAUUGGAGUCUGCAACUCGACUCCAUGAAGUCGGAAUCGC